rnacentral:rRNA from 1 species
UGGCGGACGGGUGAGUAAUGUCUGGGAAACUGCCCGAUGGAGGGGGAUAACUACUGGAAACGGUAGCUAAUACCGCAUAACGUCGCAAGACCAGAGAGGGGGACCUUCGGGCCUCUUGCCAUCGGAUGUGCCCAGAUGGGAUUAGCUAGUAGGUGGGGUAAAGGCUCACCUAGGCGACGAUCCCUAGCUGGUCUGAGAGGAUGACCAGCCACACUGGAACUGAGACACGGUCCAAACUCCUACGGGAGGCAGCAUG